UUACGGUCAAAUCACGCUGAAAACACCGGUUCUCGUUCGAUCACCGAAGUUAAGCAUCGUAGAGCCAGGCCAGGUCAGUACUUAGAUGGGGACCGCUUGGGAACACCUGGUACUGUAAG